UGAUUCUGGAACCGGGCCUGCUCUUUAUAUACUAAUCCAUAAACAGCCACAGGAAAUCUUCAAUAUGGAUGCUGAAUGAAAACCAUGAAUGCUGUAAAUGCAGUGCAACUGUUCAUUCUGGUUUGGACUUUUACUGCUGUCUGUCAAGCUGAUGAUGAUUUCAGUGUAAGCUGUGAGGAUGUGACUGGAACUGUGAGUAAAGAAGUAACUUUAAACUGCAGCGUCUCUCUGAAGAAGUCUGAAUGCUGCGUUACAGUGU